rnacentral:misc_RNA from 1 species
GAUGAAGAACGUAGCUAAAUGCGAUAAGUAAUGCGAAUUGCAGAAUCCGUGAGUCAUCGAAUCUUUGAACGCACAUUGCGCCCUUUGGUAUUCCGAAGGGCAUGCCUGUUCGAGCGUCAUUAUCACCCCUCAAGCCCCGGCUUGGUGUUGGGCUCUCGGUGGUCGUCUCCGACCACCCGUCUCAAAGAUAGUGACGGCGUCCCAGAGGGAACCGGUACGAGGAGCUUUCACGAGCAUGUACGCGGGACGACUCUGCGGGCGACGGUCUUAUUUACUUUAUAUACAAGUGUUGACCUCGGAUCAGGUAGGAAUACCCGCUGAACUUAAGCAUAUCAAUAAGCGGAGGA